rnacentral:rRNA from 1 species
GGAAUCCGGUUAAUAUUCCGGAACUUGGAUAUGGAUUCUUCACGGUAACGUAACUGAAUGUGGAGACGUCGGCGUGAGCCCUGGGAGGAGUUCUCUUUUCUUCUUAACAGCUUAUCACCCUGGAAUUGGUUUAUCCGGAGAUAGGGUCUUAUGGCUGGAAGAGCGCAAUACUUUUGUUGCGUCCGGUGCGCUUACGACGGUCCUUGAAAAUCCACAGGAAGGAAUAGUUUUCAUGCCAAGUCGUACUCAUAACCGCAGCAGGUCUCCAAGGUGAACAG